rnacentral:rRNA from 1 species
AAUCUCGAAAGCCUAUCUCAGUUCGGAUUGGAGGCUGAAACCCGCCUCCAUGAAGCUGGAUUCGCUAGUAAUCGCGCAUCAGCCACGGCGCGGUGAAUACGUUCCCGGGCCUUGUACACACCGCCCGUCAAGCCAUGGAAGCCGGGGGUGCCUGAAGUGCGCUGCCGCAAGGAGCGCCCUAGGGUAAAACCGGUGACUGGGGCUAAGUCGUAACAAGGUAGC